rnacentral:rRNA from 1 species
GCCUCUUGAAUUUAUAUAAGAGGUCCAGCCUGCCCAGUGACCCUGUUCAACGGCCGCGGUAUCCUAACCGUGCGAAGGUAGCGUAAUCACUUGUUCUUUAAAUGAGGACUAGUAUGAACGGCAUCACGAAGGUUAUACUGUCUCCUUUUUCCAAUCAGUGAAUCUAAUCUCCCCGUGAAGAAGCGGGGAUAAAACUAUAAGACGAGAAGACCCUAUGGAGCUUAAAACAAUACAGCACUUGCUAAAAAAUUUAACAAUUCCAGAAUUUUUCAUUUUAUAAGCAACAUGACUGUAAGUUUUUGGUUGGGGUGACCACGGAGUAUAACACAACCUCCACGUUGAAAGAAUUUUAUUCUAAGCCAAAAAUUACAUUUUUAAGCAUCAAUAAAUUGACAUCUAUUGACCCAAUACUAUUGAACAACGAACCAAGUUACCCUAGGGAUAACAGCGCAAUCCACUUCAAGAGCUCCUAUCGACAAGUGGGUUUACGACCUCGAUGUUGGAUCAGGGUUUCCCAGUGGUGCAGCCGCUACUAAAGGUUCGUUUGUUCAACGAUUAAAACCCU